GAUGAACGCUGGCGGCGUGCUUAACACAUGCAAGUCGAACGGAAAGGCCCAAGCUUGCUUGGGUACUCGAGUGGCGAACGGGUGAGUAACACGUGGGUGAUCUGCCCUGCACUUCGGGAUAAGCCUGGGAAACUGGGUCUAAUACCGGAUAGGACCACUUCUUGGAUGUUGUGGUGGAAAGUUUUUUCGGUGUGGGAUGAGCUCGCGGCCUAUCAGCUUGUUGGUGGGGUAAUGGCCUACCAAGGCGUCGACGGGUAGCCGGCCUGAGAGGGUGUACGGCCACAUUGGGACUGAGAUACGGCCCAGACUCCUACGGGAGGCAGCAGUGGGGAAUAUUGCACAAUGGGCGCAAGCCUGAUGCAGCGACGCCGCGUGGGGGAUGACGGACUUCGGGUUGUAAACUCCUUUCGCUAGGGACGAAGCGUUUUGUGACGGUACCUGGAGAAGAAGCACCGGCUAACUACGUG
rnacentral:rRNA from 1 species